UGUCCCUAGGCUGGAUAACAGUAGACUCUCAGAAAUCUUUUCCAGAGAUGCAAACAUGAAAGAGAAAAUCAUUGAGCAUUUUGGAGCAGGACCAGUCAAGUUCUCAUCGGAGUGCAAAACACACUUUCAUAGAGUUUAUCACAACACGAGGGACUGCUCGACACCA